GCUUUUAAUGUCAUUUAUAAAAAAAUAAAGUUAUUUACAUUUGCAACUUAUUUGAUGGCAUCCUCCUUUUAUUACAGCAUUCGGAUUAGUGAAGAAACAUCACUAGAACUCAUUUGAGUGUAAACUUAUCAAAGAGAAGCGUGGCAGUACAGAAGAUAAUGUUUAACACGUUUUGAAUCCUUGCUGUAUUGCAGCAUCACACAAUUCAUUCUUUGCAGCACGUGCACCCUGGCCUUUCAGUGAGCAGAAUUUCUCUUCCAUAUUAAGAUGUAGAAACUGUGCCACAUCUUGGGGACAGCCCCACGUCCUUACACGUGGCACGUCAAGGCAUAACCAAAGGAAUUAGUUUCAUUCCAUUGGGUGGUAGCCUACAUGCAGAAUGUAGCUGCUUACAUAUUUCCAGGAAAACUCCGGUUAAAAGGACAAAAACAAAGUAUGGUUACACUUAUUGCAUAGUUACAGUAAACCCGACCCGUGAAUACAAAAGCCAUCAAAAUAUAUUAUAAAUCUGAGUUUCGAAGCUACUCUAAAAUACUGCUUUGCUUUAGAAUACAAAUAACACUGGUUGGGGUUAGUUUGUAGAGUUGCAUUUUGGUCCAUGCUGUUAAUUCUACAUCAUUCUGUUCCUCUUCCAUUAGUUUAAUAGCCUCAGAACAACAGGUCCUCAGGCAGCGGCACGAAUGGCAAAGCCCAGGAAAGGCUUUUCCAAAUCUCAGACUUCAGCGGCUGCAGUCAGUCCGUAACAGCUCUCCUUUCCAGCAUCUCCUUCCUUUACUGCUUUAAAUAGACUUCCCUCAGAGCUCUAAGGGAAAGAAUUUGGCUAAGCGGUAGUUCCACAUAAUCUGCUGGCGGCAGAGACGUCUUUGGUGUCAGCGUCGGGUCGUCCCGAGACCACAAAUGGCCAAGUCAGGUUGACGGGGUGCACGUAGCCGUUCUCGUAGCGGUCCUCUUGCAGCAGCUGCCGGAGGUGCGCGAUGUAGCUGGAGGCCAGGCGCAGCGUGUCCAGCUUGGAGAGCUUGGUGUCGGGGGGCACCCAGGGCAGGGUGGUCUUCAGCCUGGAGAAGGCUUUGCUAAGGACCCGCAUCCUUGCCCUCUCCCUUGCGUUGGCCGCGUUGCGCUGCGACUGCUUCCCCUCUGCCGCCGGCCCCCGCGGCCCCGACGGCGCCUUCUUGCCCCCGGGGCCGCUGCCCCUCGCCCGCUUCCUCUUGCAGCCCGCCGGCCCCGCCGCACAGCUGCCCUCGCCGUCCUCCUCCUCCUCCUCCUCUUCCUCCUCCUCCUCCUCCUCCUCCGCCGCCGAGGAGUUGUCCCCCGAGGGGUAGAGCUCGCCACGGGGCUGCCGCUUGCCCGCCGCCGGGUAGUCCAGCUGCAGCGCCCGCAGGUCCAUCUCGGGCAGCUCCUCCGCCUCGCUCCCGGAGCCCGUUGACAUGGCCCCGGGGGGAGGCGGCGGCGGCGGCUGCUGCUGCUGCUGCUGGCGGCGGCGGCGGCGGCGGCAGGGCGGGCGGCCGAGGCGGCUGCGGGCAGCGCGGGGCGGCCCCGCCGCGGAGAGUCCGUGCGGGGGCGCGGGGGGAGCGGCGGGGGGAUGCGCCCCCGCACAGCGCUAUAUAGCGGCGGCCGCGGGGCCGAGAGGCGGCCGGGCCGGGGGGAGGAGGAGGGGGCAGCCCCCGGCCGAGCCCCGCGGUGGGGCGGUGCCUCCCGCAACGCCCGGCGCGGCGCCGCGCGCGGAGGGGCGCGGAGGGGCGCGGGGCCGCCCCGUGGGCUGCGGGGUAUCGGGCUCUGCGGGAGAGCCCCGCGAGGGAAAGGACGGGUGAACGCUCGCGUAAACGUUCAACAGGGGGAUAUAAGAAGAGCCCCCGAGGUGCAUCCCUACCGCGCCCCAGACGCCGCCUCUUCCCAGGAUGAAUAAGCAACACAUUGCUUCCCCGCUGCCCUCCCGGCCCUGUCUGCGCGCAGUUAAGCAGAAUAACAGUUCCACUUCCAGAAUAGAAAAGAACCUAAUGACUACAACAGGUGGAAAGAUCUUGUCCCGAAAUUUCGCUCCCGUCUUUUUUUUUUUUUCCCCUUACAUUUCCCUCCCGAGUUAAGUGGAACCUUCCCGCUGCCGCAGAGCGACUUUCCUGGCACCCGCGGCCGUGCUUUCGCCCAGCGCUCAGCGGCCCGCGGCCACUUAACGCUGUGUAAACCUCGGCUUCGCCCGCUGGGGCCAGAACCACAUCAGAGCCGGGUUUGGGAGCAGCCCUUCCAAGGGAAACUUGACAUUGCUUGAAGCGCCGAAACACGCGGCUGAUCCUGCAACUGGAUCUCUUGAACUCGGGUUGACACUGAGAUGCUCUCGCUGGCACUGAGGAAGGGGUGCGCGCCAGACUUGGGGGCUGCUUGGCCUCCCCAGUUAGCGUACAUUACCCC
rnacentral:lncRNA from 1 species